GCCCUGGUAGAUCAGUUGGAAGAUCCUCCGCUCUCAAUUUGAUGGAGUAUACUAGUUUAGCGGAUGACGCGGGUUCGAAUCCCGCCUCGGGCG